GAUGAAAUAAUAAAAGAUAGUAAAAAUUGAAUACAAAUAUUAGUUUUGCUCCAUUGCUCACUCACUCCUCUUUCUCUCACUUAUCUUCCAUUGUUGCAAUCCCUCUCUCCCCUUUUUUCCUUUCCGAGUUAGAAGAACGCUGCAAUAAUCUAUGGCUAGCCACUGCCUCAGACCCGAGAGUGAACAAGGUGAACAGGGCUGCUGGAGUGCUUGAUAACUUUGCCGAGGGAGAGAAGUAUGCAGAGAAUUUCUUGAGGAAGUUUGAACGAAACAGAGAGCCAGAGAUCAUGCCUUCCCUCAACCGUAUCUUCACUGACCCAAGUCGCAAUUAAGUGUGCUUUGAAUAAACAGAACUUUAUUUGAGAUGUGAACUCUAACUUUAUCUGAGAUGUGAACUCUAUUAUGUUUGACAAUUUAUGGUGCAUUUAUAAUACAAAUGUGUCUGAUCUCUCAGGCUAAGCAGCAUAUACGCUGCGGUUGAGAGUAAAAUCCCAAGUUUACUGUGUUUGGUGCAUAAUGAUUGCUGUAUUUUUAAGCUCUUUAACUCCUCUGAUUUCCUCUUAUCUUGCCACAAUUGAGGGUCUGUUUGCAUUGUGAAAGUAUUUCCUAUUUUCAUUUCUUGAAA